UCUCUGUAGUCUAGAUGAGCUCUUAAAGACUAACAAAUUUAUUUCGGCAUAAGCUUUUGUUGGAUGGAAGCCAAAAAUGUUUUUACUUUGACUCCACACUGAAGGGAGCAAUGAAAACUCAUUCCUUAAUAUGAUUAGUCAUGUACCCUUUUAUCCCAAAUAUAUAAAGGAGUAGGAGAGCAGUUUGUUGGUCUCCUGAAAAGUCAUUUCCUAAUAGUUGUAACCAGGAAAGUGACUGUAAAAAUCACACUGAAGAUCAAUCUUUUGGAGUUCAAGAUAGUGGGCCCAGUAACGACCCACUGAAUUGAAUGCUGAGGUUGCCCCGGUCGGCGCUGGUGAAGAGUAAGGGAAGCCAAUGGGAGCAUUUGCUCUUGUCGUCCUCCCGUUGUGGAAAUGGCACCAAGCUUGGCUUAAGGAAUGUUGACUCCAGCUAUGUUAUUUAUGUAGCUGGAGGUGCGUACCUUAAGCUGACCUUCGGGUCUAGUAUAGAUUUGGCCUGAGAUUCAAUAGCUACUUUUCCCGUGGACUACCAGAUCCUGAUUAGGUUUAUUACUAUGUCUGCUAAACUAAGAACAGCCAGAACCUGGUCCACCAUGAAGAUGACUCAGGGGAAACCUGGGCAAGAAUGCAGCUGGGGCCUAAAAUUGUAGGUACCACACAUUUGACAGUUAGGACUAGAUCCUGAAAAUAGGGUUCCAGGCUGCCAAGAUGAUGUGGAUCCUUUUUCAGGAUCUAUUCCUUCUUCAGAAUUCUGGCUUUUAUAAAGUCUAAAGAAGUCACAAAGUAAUAAGGCUAAAAGAAUCUAGAACCCAGCCCUAAACACCAUUUUAGCACUGACUGCUUUAAAAAUAAUAGCUUUGAACAGUUUACAUUUGUACAUCAUAAAGCUGAAAAUGUAGAAAGACUUUUUGCUUAAAGUAUGUUAAGUUAUCAGAGAAGUCUGAAAUAGCCUGUGGUGCCUUCUCUUCCCCAAUAUUUAUGUGAAAGCGUCUGCGUUUAGCAGUAAACAUGCAUGUGACAGAGAACUGAAGGGGUUAGGAAGGAUGCAUACAAAUCUAACCUACAGAUUGGCAUUGACACUCAAUUUGGCAAGCUGCCGUGGGUCUCACCAGGAACUGUUCAUAUUCUAAAUUGUGUCUGUCUAAUACAUGGAUAAAGACUAAGACCCAGUUCCUGAUGCCCUUGAGAGAGCUCAUGAAGUGAGUGGGGGUAUAUGCAGAUUCAGGGGUCUGCCUGCACAGGUUCCAUAGCAUGAUCAAGGCUACAGUCAUAGAAAUCAACAGUAAAGUUAGGUAAGUCAGCAUUUUGCUUGAAUAGAAUAUUUUCAUGAUAGCUUUGCAAGGCUGAUUUUAUUUUAUAUGCUUAUAUAAAUACCCAUGCACAUUAUUGCCAAUCCCAAGUAAACUGCAAAAUUCAAGCACAGAUCACAGUACAGAAUCAGAAUCUACAUAUAUAUAAAAAAUACACACAUCCAUAUAUAUACACACACAUAUGUGGUACUGCCUGCUCUGCCUGUAAUUUAUAGUUAACAUGCUGUUUUCAGCUGCUUAUAUCUCUGCAAAACUUAAAAUCAGCCUGAGGCAGACACCCAGGAUCUAAAAUUUCAGCCCAGAUAUUGAGGUUUUUUUGAUUGAUACAGCGUAGCGGCUUUCAACUUUUUUUUUUUUAUAUUUUGCAGACCCUUACAAAAUUACAAAUGAAGAUGCUUUCAGAUAUGCAGACCUCAAAUUGAAAACCAUUGAUAUAGACACUUGCAUUUGUGGAGUAGAGAUUCGGGAGUCAUAAUUGUCAAGACUGGACCAAGAACAUAAAUGGAGUGUAUGACAGAGAAAGACAAAAUUGCUCUUGGACCUAAAACAUUAUUAUAUAAAUAAUUUAUUCUUCUUUGUUUAGUGGCCACUUCUCACUUAUCCUACUCCUUAUUUCCCCUCCCCCAAAAGAAAUUUGUGUUCUACACAUACAUAACUAGAAAUAAGGAUAAAUAAUUCCU